rfam:Loxodonta africana unplaced genomic scaffold scaffold_32, whole genome shotgun sequence.
GCAAACUUUUAAUGCACUUGGCUGCUAACCAAGAGACUGGAGGUUCAAGUCCACC